rnacentral:rRNA from 1 species
AGCAGUCGCCGCGGUAAUACGGAGGGAGCUAGCGUUGUUCGGAAUUACUGGGCGUAAAGCGCGCGUAGGCGGUUAUUUAAGUCAGGGGUGAAAGCCCGGUGCUCAACACCGGAACAGCCCUUGAGACUGGAUAAUUUGAAUCCAGGAGAGGUGAGUGGAAUUCCGAGUGUAGAGGUGAAAUUCGUAGAUAUUCGGAAGAACACCAGUGGCGAAGGCGGCUCACUGGACUGGUAUUGACGCUGAGGUGCGAAAGCGUGGGGAGCAAACAGGAUUAGAUACCCCCGUAGUCCCUGUCUCUUAUAU